rnacentral:rRNA from 1 species
GAUGAACGCUAGCGGCAGGCCUAACACAUGCAAGUCGAGGGGUAGAAGGAGCUUGCUCCUUUGAGACCGGCGCACGGGUGCGUAACGCGUAUGCAAUCUACCUUGUACAGGGGAAUAGCCCAGAGAAAUUUGGAUUAAUGCCCCAUAGUAUAUAACCUUCGCAUGUUCGUUAUAUUAAAGUUCCAACGGUACAAGAUGAGCAUGCGUCCCAUUAGUUAGUUGGUAAGGUAACGGCUUACCAAGACGAUGAUGGGUAGGGGUCCUGAGAGGGAGAUCCCCCACACUGGUACUGAGACACGGACCAGACUCCUACGGGAGGCAGCAGUGAGGAAUAUUGGUCAAUGGUCGCAAGACUGAACCAGCCAUGCCGCGUGCAGGAAGACGGUCCUAUGGAUUGUAAACUGCUUUUAUACAGGAAGAAACCCUCCCACGUGUGGGAGCUUGACGGUACUGUAGGAAUAAGGAUCGGCUAACUCCGUG